AGAGCGUUGCCGCAGGCAACGACCCGAAGGGCGAAGCGCGCAGCGCUGAGUCAUCCUUCCCCCACCACCA
rnacentral:sRNA from 1 species